rnacentral:rRNA from 1 species
CCUACGGGGAGCUGCAGUCGAGAAUCAUUCACAAUGGGGGAAACCCUGAUGGUGCGACGCCGCGUGGGGGAAUGAAGGUCUUCGGAUUGUAAACCCCUGUCAUGUGGGAGCAAAUUAAAAAGAUAGUACCACAAGAGGAAGAGACGGCUAACUCUGUGCCAGCAGCCGCGGUAAUACAGAGGUCUCAAGCGUUGUUCGGAAUCACUGGGCGGAAAGCGUGCGUAGGCUGUUUCGUAAGUCGUGUGUGAAAGGCGCGGGCUCAACCCGCGGACGGCACAUGAUACUGCGAGACUAGAGUAAUGGAGGGGGAACCGGAAUUCUCGGUGUAGCAGUGAAAUGCGUAGAUAUCGAGAGGAACACUCGUGGCGAAGGCGGGUUCCUGGACAUUAACUGACGCUGAGGCACGAAGGCCAGGGGAGCGAAAGGGAUUAGAUACCCCAGUAGUC